GAUGAAGAACGCAGCGAAAUGCGAUACUUGGUGUGAAUUGCAGAAUCCCGUGAACCAUCGAGUCUUUGAACGCAAGUUGCGCCCGAAGCCAUUAGGCCGAGGGCACGCCUGCCUGGGUGUCACACACCGUUACCCUCGCGCCAACGUCCAUCGUUGGCCGCGGCGCGGGGCGUGCGCUGACCUCCCGCGAGCGGGGUCUCGUGGUUGGUUGAAAAUCGAGUUCGCGGUCGAGGGUGCCGUGAUGAAAUGGUGGAUGGGCGACGUCCGAGGCCAAUCACGCGCGACUCUCCGGCUCGGACUCCUGGACCCCUUCGGCGUCUCCGGACGCUCUUUGGCGAGACCUCAGGUCAGGCGGGGCUACCCGCUGAGUUUAAGCAUAUCAAUAAGCGGAGGA
rnacentral:misc_RNA from 1 species